AUUGAACGCUGGCGGCAUGCUUUACACAUGCAAGUCGAACGGUAACAGGCCUUCGGGUGCUGACGAGUGGCGAACGGGUGAGUAAUGCAUCGGAACGUGCCCAAUCGUGGGGGAUAACGUAGCGAAAGUUACGCUAAUACCGCAUAAGCCCUGAGGGGGAAAGUGGGGGACCGCAAGGCCUCACGCGAAUGGAGCGGCCGAUGUCAGAUUAGCUAGUUGGUGGGGUGAAGGCCCACCAAGGCGACGAUCUGUAGCGGGUCUGAGAGGAUGAUCCGCCACACUGGGACUGAGACACGGCCCAGACUCCUACGGGAGGCAGCAGUGGGGAAUUUUGGACAAUGGGCGCAAGCCUGAUCCAGCCAUGCCGCGUGCGGGACGAAAGGCC
rnacentral:rRNA from 1 species